GUGACUGCUCCUGGUAUUCACUGCAUUUCUUGGUUGUCCAAUGCAACAGUCACACACAUCAAAACAGAGGGUUCCUGGGGGCCAGUGUUAAGGCACAGUGGGUUAAGUCGCUGCUUGGGAUGCCGACAUC
ensembl:scaRNA